GGGUGGCGGAGCUCGCCUGGCCCCUUUCCUUCCGGGUUUGGGGCGAGCGUGCUGCCUUCGCCUCCCGUCCAGCCCCCUCCCCUGUCCACCGGGCGGCUACUGCCACCGCCAGCGCCGAUAGGAUGAGUUUCUUGAAGAGCUUCCCUCCGCCGAGCUCAGAAGAUGGGCUGCGGCAGCAGCAGCCCGACACCGAAGCGGUGCUGGACGGCAAGGGCCUGGGCACCGGUACCCUCUACAUCGCCGAGAGCCGCCUAUCCUGGUUAGAUGGAUCUGGAUUGGGAUUUUCGCUGGACUAUCCCACCAUUAGUUUACAUGCUGUCUCCAGGGAUCUAAAUGCCUAUCCACAAGAGCACUUGUAUGUUAUGGUGAAUGCUCGAUUUGGAGAGGAAGAACCCAAAGAAGUAAAAGAAACUCCAAUGGCCGAAGGGGAAGAAGAUGAGGACAGUGAUGAAGAUAUUGAACCAAUUGCUGAGUUCAGAUUUGUUCCAAGUGAUAAGUCAGCAUUGGAAGCAUUGUUUGCUGCCAUGUGUGAAUGUCAAGCUUUACAUCCAGAUCCUGAGGAUGAAGAUUCAGAUGAUUAUGAUGGAGAAGAAUAUGAUGUGGAAGCACAUGAACAAGGACAGGGGGAUAUUCCUACAUUUUACACCUAUGAAGAAGGAUUGUCUCAUUUAACUGCAGAAGGACAAGCUACUCUGGAGCGACUAGAAGGAAUGCUUGCUCAGUCUGUGAGCAGCCAGUAUAACAUGGCUGGAGUAAGGACAGAAGACUCAAUUAGGGAUUAUGAAGAUGGGAUGGAGAUAGAUGCCGCACCAACUGUUGCCGGACAGUUUGAGGAUGCAGAUGUUGAUCACUGAAGAUCAGUAAGGCUGAGUAUUAGUGAUCCUCAGUGCCUAAGAAUCUUGGAAUGCCACAAUUUCUGAAGAAUUAAAGUUUUAGAUCACCUGAAGGGCAAUGGAGAAGGCACAGGAUUCCACAUGUUAACUGAAGGAGGGAACUUUCUGGUCUUCCCACAGUGGAGAGGCAAGAGAAGAAACACCUUUUUCCCCUCUGCAAACAUGACCUAAACCAGUUCUUCAGACUUAUGCUGAGGCCAUAUGAAUCACCACCAGCAGAAGCUUGCAUUCUUUAUUAACAGAAGUGGCUGGAUUCACCCAACAGGGUAUUUAUAGUUUAUCAUUGACUCAAGAAUCCUGUGCCCAGUUGUGGUCAUCUAGGCCUAUAAAUCCUUCCCUCACAGUACUCAUCUGUAAGGCAGCAGGCCCACAUGGUGCAGGGGUAUGGAAAAGAAGUGGGGGUAGGAGGUGUAACCAGAAUAUGCCAUAUGCCAUACACACAUACACAUACACACACACACACACACAUACACACAUACACACAGAGGUACACACACGUACAUAUGUAUGUAUAUUCACACAGAUACAUUACACACAUAUAUACACAUAUGUACAUGCAUAUGUGUGUGUUUGUGUGUCUGUAGCAGUAAUUGCUCUUUGAAAAGAGAUUAAGAGUUCUCAGAGGCUUGCCUCUGCUCUUUUGUACUCUGGAUCAAUCAGGUAACUACCCAUAGGGAAUAUCAAAGCCUGAUUAGCUUAUUCCUGCUUCUAUGAGUAGCCUAAUUAACUCUUCUACCAUGUCCCACCAACCUCCAUUAACAAGAGCUGGGAGCUUCUGACAAGCUUUUGCUAUUUUCAUAGUUCUCUUUAGUCUGAAAGAUGAAUUUUAUAAUUCUAGUCUGUUGUGACAAACUGGCCUCAAAAGCUAUCUUCUCUUAGGUUCCUCUGAAAAUUUAAAGAGGCUGGGAUGAGAUCCUUAAAAUACUGCAGAUGAGAAUUCUUUUGUCUUUGUUACAACUAAAUAAAUAAAAUUAGGUUUUGUAUGUUAA